AUCCAGCUGACGAGUGCCAAAUAGGACGGAACUCACGUCCUGGAU
rfam:Schistosoma rodhaini strain Burundi genome assembly, scaffold: SROB_scaffold0002266